GAUGAACGCUGACGGCGUGCCUAAUACAUGCAAGUCGAGCGAACGGACGAGAAUCUUGCUUCUCUGAUGUUAGCGGCGGACGGGUGAGUAACACGUGGAUAACCUACCUAUAAGACUGGGAUAACUUCGGGAAACCGUAGCUAAUACCGGAUAAUAUUUUGAACCGCAUGGUUCAAAAGUGAAAGACGGUCUUGCUGUCACUUAUAGAUGGAUCCGCGCUGCAUUAGCUAGUUGGUAAGGUAACGGCUUACCAAGGCAACGAUGCAUAGCCGACCUGAGAGGGGGAUCGGCCACACUGGAACUGAGCCGCGGUCCAGACUCCUACGGGAGGCAGCAGUAGGGAAUCUUCCGCAAUGGGCGAAAGCCUGACGGAGCAACGCCGCGUGAGUGAUGAAGGUCUUCGGAUCGUAAAACUCUGUUAUUAGGGAAGAACAUAUGUGUAAGUAACUGUGCACAUCUUGACGGUACCUAAUCAGAAAGCCACGGCUAACUACGUG
rnacentral:rRNA from 1 species